ACAGCAGCAGCCACGGGAAUACGGAGGGUGCAAGCGUUAAUCGGAAUUACUGGGCGUAAAGCGCACGCAGGCGGUCUGACAAGUCAGAUGUGAAAUCCCCGGGCUUAACCUGGGAACUGCAUUUGAAACUGUCAGGCUGGAGUCUUGUAGAGGGGGGUAGAAUUCCAGGUGUAGCGGUGAAAUGCGUAGAGAUCUGGAGGAAUACCGGUGGCGAAGGCGGCCCCCUGGACAAAGACUGACGCUCAGGUGCGAAAGCGUGGGGAGCAAACAGGAUUAGAUACCCGUGUAGUCCCUGUCUCUUAUAC
rnacentral:rRNA from 1 species